GACGAACGCUGGCGGCGUGCCUAAUACAUGCAAGUAGAACGCUGAAGGAGGAGCUUGCUUCUCUGGAUGAGUUGCGAACGGGUGAGUAACGCGUAGGUAACCUGCCUGGUAGCGGGGGAUAACUAUUGGAAACCAUAGCUAAUACCGCAUAAGAGUAGAUGUUGCAUGACAUUUGCUUAAAAGGUGCAAUUGCAUCACUACCAGAUGGACCUGCGUUGUAUUAGCUAGUUGGUGGGGUAACGGCUCACCAAGGCGACGAUACAUAGCCGACCUGAGAGGGUGAUCGGCCACACUGGGACUGAGACACGGCCCAGACUCCUACGGGAGGCAGCAGUAGGGAAUCUUCGGCAAUGGACGGAAGUCUGACCGAGCAACGCCGCGUGAGUGAAGAAGGUUUUCGGAUCGUAAAGCUCUGUUGUAAGAGAAGAACGAGUGUGAGAGUGGAAAGUUCACACUGUGACGGUAUCUUACCAGAAAGGGACGGCUAACUACGUG
rnacentral:rRNA from 1 species